UGGGGAAUAUUGGACAAUGGGCGAAAGCCUGAUCCAGCCAUGCCGCGUGUGUGAAGAAGGUCUUCGGAUUGUAAAGCACUUUAAGUUGGGAGGAAGGGCAGUAAGUUAAUACCUUGCUGUUUUGACGUUACCGACAGAAUAAGCACCGGCUAACUCUGUACCAGCAGCCGCGGUAAUACAGAGGGUGCAAGCGUUAAUCGGAAUUACUGGGCGUAAAGCGCGCGUAGGUGGUUUGUUAAGUUGGAUGUGAAAGCCCCGGGCUCAACCUGGGAACUGCAUCCAAAACUGGCAAGCUAGAGUACGGUAGAGGGUGGUGGAAUUUCCUGUGUAGCGGUGAAAUGCGUAGAUAUAGGAAGGAACACCAGUGGCGAAGGCGACCACCUGGACUGAUACUGACACUGAGGUGCGAAAGCGUGGGGAGCAAACA
rnacentral:rRNA from 1 species